AACGAACGCUGGCGGCAGGCCUAACACAUGCAAGUCGAACGAACCCUUCGGGGUUAGUGGCGGACGGGUGAGUAACACGUGGGAAUGUGCCUUUAGGUUCGGAAUAACUCAGGGAAACUUGUGCUAAUACCGAAUGUGCCCUUCGGGGGAAAGAUUUAUCGCCUUUAGAGCGGCCCGCGUCUGAUUAGCUAGUUGGUGAGGUAAUGGCUCACCAAGGCUACGAUCAGUAGCUGGUCUGAGAGGAUGACCAGCCACGUUGGGACUGAGACACGGCCCAAACUCCUACGGGAGGCAGCAGUGGGGAAUCUUGCGCAAUGGGCGAAAGCCUGACGCAGCCAUGCCGCGUGGAUGAUGAAGGUCUUAGGAUUGCAAAAUCCUUUCACCGGUGAAGAUAAUGACUGUAGCCGGAGAAGAAGCCCCGGCUAACUUCGUGCCAGCCGCCGCAGUAACAC
rnacentral:rRNA from 1 species